UACGAGGGGGGCAAGCGUUGUUCGGAAUUAUUGGGCGUAAAGGGCGCGUAGGCGGGCUGUCAAGUCUGGGGUGAAAUCCCACGGCUCAACCGUGGAACUGCCUUAGAUACUGACGGCCUCGAGGGAGAUAGGGGCGAGCGGAACUGUGAGUGGAGCGGUGAAAUGCGUUGAUAUUCACAGGAACUCCGGUGGCGAAGGCGGCUCGCUGGAUCUUUUCUGACGCUGAGGCGCGAAAGCUAGGGGAGCAAACGGG
rnacentral:rRNA from 1 species